GUGGUACAGAAGCUGACAAGAAGCAGCUUAGGAUCAAAAGAGGAGCUACAGUCUCUGUUGCUCCAGAAAGAAGCAAGUCUAACAGCAGUUAUGGAGAAACUUCUGGAAACAUUUGAAGAUUUAGAUGAAGCUGAGUUUCAGCGUUUUUGGAGAACCCUGCAGAAGACAGCCAUGAAGCACAGAAGAAGAACCCCGACCUAUUUUAAUGAAACGAAAUGGAAAGUGGCCGAGCUGAUGCUGGAGGAGUUUGAUGAACAAAGUUUAGACGUGGCGAUGCAGAUUUUAAA